rnacentral:rRNA from 1 species
UACACUUAAUGUGUUAACUGCAUUACUGCAAGGUCGAGCCUCACAACAACUAGUGUACAUCGUUUAGAGCGUGUAGGCGGAUUGAUAAGUUUGAAGUGAAAUCCUAUAGCUUAACUAUAGAACUGCUUUGAAAACUGUUAAUCUAGAAUGUGGGAGAGGUAGAUGGAAUUUCUGGUGUAGGGGUAAAAUCCGUAGAGAUCAGAAGGAAUACCGAUUGCGAAGGCGAUCUACUGGAACAAUAUUGACGCUGAGACGCGAAAGCGUGGGGAGCAAACAGGAUUAGAUACCCUGGUAGUCCACGCCCUAAACGAUGUACACUAGUUGUUGUGAGGCUCGACCUUGCAGUAAUGCAGUUAACACAUUAAGUGUACCGCCUGGGGAGUACGGUCGCAAGAUUAAAACUCAAAGGAAUAGACGGGGACCCGCACAAGCGGUGGAGCAUGUGGUUUAAUUCGACGAUACACGAAGAACCUUACCUGGACUUGACAUAGUAAGAAUGAUUUAGAGAUAGAUUAGUGUCUGCUUGCAGAAACUUGCAUACAGGUGCUGCACGGCUGUCGUCAGCUCGUGUCGUGAGAUGUUGGGUUAAGUCCCGCAACGAGCGCAACCCUCGUCCUUAGUUGCUAACAGUUCGGCUGAGAACUCUAAGGAGACUGCCUACGCAAGUAGGAGGAAGGUGAGGAUGACGUCAAGUCAUCAUGGCCCUUACGUCCAGGGCUACACACGUGCUACAAUGGGGUAUACAAAGAGCAGCAAUACGGUGACGUGGAGCAAAUCUCAAAAAUGCCUCCCAGUUCGGAUUGUAGUCUGCAACUCGACUACAUGAAGUUGGAAUCGCUAGUAAUCGUAGAUCAGCUAUGCUACGGUGAAUACGUUCCCGGGUCUUGUACUCACCGCCCGUCACACCAUGGGAGUUGAACUCAUUCGAAGCGGGGAUGCUAAAGUAGCUACCUUCCACAGUGGAUUCAGCGACUGGGGUGAAGUCGUAACAAGGUAACCGUAGGAGAACCUGCGGUUGGAUCACCUCCUUU